GACGAACGCUGGCGGCGUGCUUAACACAUGCAAGUUGAACGGAAAGGCCCUGCUUUUGUGGGGUGCUCGAGUGGCGAACGGGUGAGUAACACGUGAGUAACCUGCCCUUGACUUUGGGAUAACUUCAGGAAACUGGGGCUAAUACCGGAUAGGAGCUCCUGCUGCAUGGUGGGGGUUGGAAGGUUUCGGCGGUUGGGGAUGGACUCGCGGCUUAUCAGCUUGUUGGUGGGGUAGUGGCUUACCAAGGCUUUGACGGGUAGCCGGCCUGAGAGGGUGACCGGCCACAUUGGGACUGAGAUACGGCCCAGACUCCUACGGGAGGCAGCAGUGGGGAAUAUUGCACAAUGGGCGGAAGCCUGAUGCAGCAACGCCGCGUGCGGGAUGACGGCCUUCGGGUUGUAAACCGCUUUCGCCUGUGACGAAGCGUGAGUGACGGUAAUGGGUAAAGAAGCACCGGCUAACUACGUG
rnacentral:rRNA from 1 species